CCCCUCUCAGGGUCACUUCUGGAGAGUUUUCAGUACUCUGUCAGUCUCAACUAUGGGAGGGAGAGUCAAGCAGAGGCAUACCCGUUCCAUUCCUAGUUUGCGCAGUGGCUAGCAAGUGGAAGGCAAUCUGCUACAAGU